UCAGCACUAUUGACAUUGGAACUGAAUUA
rnacentral:piRNA from 1 species